GUAGGGAAUAUUGUGCAAUGGGGGAAACCCUGACGCAGCGACGCCGCGUGAGUGAUGAAGGCCUUCGGGUCGUAAAGCUCUGUUGCAGGGGAAUAAAAAAAUGAAGGUACCCUGUGAGGAAGGAUCGGCUAACUUCGUGCCAGCAGCCGCGGUAAGACGAGGGAUCCUAGCGUUGCUCGGAAUCAUUGGGCGUAAAGAGGGCGUAGGUGGCUUGGUAAGUCAGGUGUGAAAGCCCAGGGCUCAACCCUGGGAGUGCAUUUGAUACUGCUGAGCUUGAGUGUCGGAGAGGUUACCGGAAUACCUGGUGUAGUGGUGAAAUACGUAGAUAUCAGGUGGAACACCGGAGGCGAAGGCGGGUAACUGGACGAACACUGACACUGAGGCACGAAAGCGUGGGGAUCAAACAGGAUUAGAUACCCUAGUAGUCC
rnacentral:rRNA from 1 species